AGUUACUGGGCGUGGUCCUUACAGUUUUUAUGAUCGCCACCAUCCUUCAUCUAAUCAUGGAGACGCGAAAAAACCGCAGAGACUAUAGAGAAUAUUUUGUAAGGGGUGAACACUUAAAGCUGAAAGAGCUGAAAUCGAAAGCUCGACAUUCCUACCUGGAUACGAAAAGGAAAAAAAUACCUGUUCAAAAAUAAAAAAUACAUCCCUCCGUACCCCCGGCCGGAGUUUCACGUGUCUCAUGUGAAACACGACACAGAGAGAGGGUCACUGUGCUGGAUCUCGAAGGAUGGAGGCUUCAAGGAUCCACACGGAGGCGUCAAGGACCCUGAAGAGCCGUCCCUGGUGUGGUGGAGUCUGGCUGUUGGACCAGAGGAGAUCCGGUCAGCUGAGAGGAGGCUCCUGAAGAAGACCUUCCCAUACCGGACCAAGGAGCAGGCCCGGAGGCAGCAGAGGUUCCUGUGGAAGUUCGCCUCCUCUCCAGCCUUCAGUGAGAAGUCCAGGUAUGGAUCGUACCGCUUCACCUUCAGGGUGGAGGAGGUGCUGGAGGCCUACAGCGAGCAGCCAGACUUGAUUGUGAUAUCUGAAGAGUCCUACAGAUUUCCUGAAGCCUUUUCAGAGCUUUUAUUUAGACAUUGGCUGCUUUUUCACUCAUUCUCAGUCUGGUCCUUGUACCUGACCACAAAGCACCAAACACAUGGGAGGAACCAGUGCUGCAAAGAUAAGUCUGUGACCAGCCUUUCACGAAACAGUCUGACACCAACAAAGAGCUCUAAGUUGAGCACUUGUCACAUCUCUGCGUGGUGUUCCCUCCACUGAAACCUGUUUAUUUGUCUCCAGUUUUGCUUCGGUGCUCCACCCGUCUUGCGAGUGUUCAAGACCUCCCUGUACAAACAGGAAGUGGUGUAUACUGUGCUGGUCCACAGACCGCACGAUGACGGGCGCUUCUCCGAGUACCCCGAGCUUCCCGAUGACGACCCGAACGCCGUCUGUGCUUACAGACGAGAAGAAAACAUCUUCAUCUGGAGACCAGAGGCCAUGUGUGGGACACACUGGUAUGAGCUGGACUACAGACCUGAGGACAACCUGAUGGAAGCCUGGGAGCUGGAUGAUUGCCCACAGUAUUAUGUUUGGGAUCACGUCGCCCUCGCCCUGCAUGUGGAGAGCGGACAGGUGCUGAAGUUCGACUCCGAUCGACUGAGACAGAACCUCAAGUUCUGUGAGCGAGACGACGUGACCAUCGCACCGAAAUUCUACUUUGAUGAUUGUGAGGAAGCUCAGAGCGUUAUCGAAAGUCUGUGGCCCGAGUCGUCACUGGAGAAGAACUUUGCAGGUCUCUCUCUUUAGGGGAAGAAAACCCCACAGCAGUGUUAAAGAGGCCUCAAGACUCGGUGCUGUGAGGCAACGAUCGGGUUUAACUUCUGCAAACUUUUCCUUUUUUAAAGAGACCAAACGUACACACUGCUGUGCAAAAAGCUUGAGGCACCUCGAUAAGAAGCAAACUAGUGAGAGAGCUGCUUAAAGUCUUAUUGAUGCUGUCAAGGAUAAGCCGCGCUGCUGAAGCAUCAGCGCCUCUGUGUGAGCGCACUGUCACUGUCAAAUCAUCAGCAACACUGGACGUUGUCACUCUGUCCUGUCUGCAGGAGACCAGUCUGCAAAUUUAAGAUUAGAAGACAUUUCAGAAAGUAAAGCUAUAUACAGUAUUAUUAUUAUUACGACUGUUACUGUAGUUAUUCUUAUGGGUGCUGUGUGAAAUUUAGGGUGACCACCUUUAUUCUCAGGAAUCCUUCUCCAGGCUUCCUGAAUUCAUUCAGAGCUCUUCUUUGUAUGUUUCUGCCUUUUGUCAUGUGAUAUGUGAUUGUUGGGGUUUCUCAGUAUCACUGUGGGGUUUUUCCUUGCAGUGUGAAACACCUCGAGGUUACUGUUGUUGUGAUUUGGUGCUAAAGAAAUACAACGAUGAUCUCACACUGCUUUGGAAAUGCUGAUGUUUCCUCUGAGGAGGCCGAUCCAUGACUGACGGUGUGUUUGGGAUCGUUGUCGUGCUGAAAACUGAGACUCUGGCCAAUCAGAUGCUUUCCAGACUGCUGGUAACAAAGUGUCUGAAGAUACAAUUUAAACAGCUUCUUUGAUUGGUCGUCUGUUACGUGUAAAAACGACACUGGUUCAUGUGGGUGGGGUUUCUCCACUUCUAUGCUCCAUCACGGUGGAGGUUAUACAUGUAACAGUGGAGGGGCGGAGACAGAAAAACUGCUUCACAUGCUUCGCUUUUGCAUUUUAUUAGUUGAUUUCAGAUAUACGACUUCCUGUAAUACCACAGAUACAUAAUUAUGUAUGAACAUGUAUGAUUAUGUGUUUUUAUGCAGUGUGUUCAUGUGCCUGAAUUUCAUACACAUUUCUACCUUUUUAUACAAUAAGACAAUAAAGUUCUUUUGAAUCUGAAUUUGUGUAUUUAUUAAGAGAACAAUCGUACAAUUAAUUAUAAACACAAAGAUUAGUUUAUUUAUAUUUCUAGAAUAAUAUUGAAAAGCUCUGAGACAUAUUAAUCUAAUUUGAUUGACCCCACCUUGAAGUUGGACCUGUGGGCGGG
ensembl:lncRNA